CAGAGGAAGGUAGAGGCCAGCCUGGUCUA
rnacentral:piRNA from 1 species